GCUAUUUUGGCAGAUUAGUGCAGUGAAUUUAGAAUUUACAUAUAUGAUUAAAAUUAUAUUUAGCA
rnacentral:tRNA from 1 species